rnacentral:rRNA from 1 species
AUGAAAGAAUGUCAUCUGUAUUAUCCUAUCGGGAACAUGUCCAUGAAGGUAGCCAUCGGCAGUGCUUUACCAUGUUUACCUGGAGCACUCCACCACAACAAGCCCAUUCAAGAUGGCUAUGCUCGUGUCACGGUGGAGGACAUAGUCCAAGGGUUUGAGGACCUGGAGAUUGACAUUGCUACACCUGAAUGGGAGAAAAGACUUGGAGAUGUCAAGCGCCAUUUCAUUCUAUGGCAAAAGAAGUUUAUCAAGUUUCCAGGCGAGGCGCCAAGGACAACAAUUCCACCCCCCUACGGUGGUGGCGGUUCACCUACACCUCCGUCACGUCAGCCGACGCCCCCCAGUCCACAACGUCCGGCGGGUGAUCAGACGCCGCCCCCUAGUCCUCGUCCGGCGGGUGAUCAGACGCCGCCCCCCAAUCCACCUCCGGCAAAGAAGCAGAAGCAGUCCUGG